rnacentral:lncRNA from 10 species
UCACUGGCACCAUAACUGGGAUUCACAGACUUUCUGCUGAGUUUUGAGGUUAUGGAAAACCCAUGUGCCUGUAUGACAGAGUUCUGUCCAUGGGAAAAAGGAGACUUAGAGGAGGGUGUCUGGGGUGUUGUGUCAGGGCCAGAGACUGAGCUACGGGCAAAUAAUACAGUACGUUCCCAGACUUGCGUCAGAGCCCAAGAGGAAGGAAGAGCGCGGUGAAAGCUGAGGAAGUCAUUUAUGUAACGGACUCUGUGAGAUCAGAGACAAGGAGUAAAAUGCCUGAGCUCAAGUGACAACAAGCAACCCCAGACUAGAGACAGGAUCCUUCUCCCCACUUCGAGCAGAUCCCAGCAUGAAUCCUGCAGUAUGGUGAUGGCAAAAGUCAGUGCAGGACCACUGGGACUCCUGGAGCUUCUCACAUCUCUGAGAGCACCAGCAGCAGGUAUUUUGCUCAAAGCAGAGGUGUUCUCAGGGGGGGAUGGUUUGACCAAAUGUAUCUACGGUGCCUUGUGGGAGUGGGCAUAGCAUGUGAAGACCAGAAUAAAGACCUCGUAAGAGAAGUGGUUGUCAGCUGUCAAUGAUGCUCCAAAUAACUGAAAUUCAUGGCGAGUUAGAGUCAUGUGGGGUGAUGCAAAGAUUCUGAGGGUACCCGUGGAAGCUGCAGUCUAGCAGAGUGGGUUUUAAGCACUGAAGUUACCUCAUUUGUGUCUACAGGCUGGGCUAUGGGUUGGCUGUUUGACCCCCUCAAACCUCAUGUUGAAGUUUGAUUCCAGUGUUGGAAGGGGGUCUAAUUCGAGGUGUCUGGGUAGUAGGAGCAGAUCCCCAUUAAUAGAUGAAUGCCCUUUCUGAGGGGAGGGAGUGACUGAGUUCUCACCAUGUUAGUUCCCAUGAGAGACAGCUGUGAAAAAGAGCCUGGCACUAUUUCUCCCUCUCUUGCUUCCUCUCCCACCAUGUGAUCUCUGCACAGCCAGCUCUCCUCUGCCGUUUGCCAUGAGUGGAAGCAGCCUGAGGCCUCACCUGAUGCAGAUGCCACUGCCAUGCUUCUAGUAGAGCCCACAGAACCAUGAGCCAAACAAACCUUUCUUCUUAUUGUUUUUCUUCCCAACUUUUGUUUUAGUUGGGAAAUAAAGGCCCAGUGGAGUGUUUUCUCCACUGUGUUGUGACAGUGGGCCAUGAACUUGCCUCAUCUUCCUAAUAGUUAUCUACUACUUAAUGUCCGAAGAAACAUAUGUAUUGGCUUGACUAAUGUUACAUUUAUGUUGUUAAGAAACAUGUACUCAGGGGCUACAUGUGCAGGUUUGCUACAUGGGUAAAUUUCAUACCAUAGGAGUUUGGUGUACAGAUUAUUUUGUCAUCCAGGAAAUAAGCAUAGCAUCUAUAGGUAUGUUUUUGAUCCGCACCCUCCUCCUAUCCUCCACCCUCAAGCAGGCUUUGGUGUCUAUUGUUCCUUUCUUUGUGUACAUGUGUACUCCAUGUUUAGCUUUCACUUACAAGUGAGAACAUGAGGUAUUUGGUUUUUUGUUCCUGCAUGAAUUAUCUUAGGAUAAUGGCAUUCAGCUCCAUCCAUGUUGCUGCAAAAGACACGAUCUCAUUGUUUUUUAAUAGUGGCAUAGUAUUCCAUGGUGUAUAUAUACCAUGUUUUCUUUAUUCAGUCCACUGUUGAUGGGCAUGUAGGUUGACUCCAUGUUUUUGCUAUUGUGAAUAGUGCUGAGAUAAACAUACAUGUCCAUGUGUCUUUAUGGUAGAACAAUUAAUAUUACUUUGGGUAUACACCGAGUAACAGAAUUGCUGGGUCAAAAGGCUGUUCUACGUUAAGUUCUUUGAGAAAUCUCCAAACUGCUUUCCACAAUGGCUGAACUAAUUUACAUUCCCACUAACAGUGUAUAAGUAUUUCCUUUUCUCUCCAAUAAACCUCUUGUCUUUAUAAAUUACCCAGCCUCAGAUAUUCCUUCAUGGCAUUUCAAAACAGACUAAGACAUGGUGGUUGUCUGAAGUUAUAGAGGCAGAUACAAAAAGGAAAAUUAUGCUAAUUACUACUUCUAACCUCAUCCCUCACUCCACCUUUCAGAAAUUAGGAUUAAGUAUGUCUGGGGCAAGGCCCAGGAAUCUGAACUUUUAACGAGUACACCAUCCUCCCCUUCUGUUCCUAUCCUAGAUCCUUAGAAUAUACACAAAGUUUUCAUGGACCACACAUUAUGAAACACUGGAUUAGCGCAAAGUGAAAUGCUUCCAGAGUAGGAGCCACUAUUCUGAGGAAUCUUGGAAGAAAAAGUAUCAAAAUAUGUUACUAUGUUUUGGGGGGAUAGAGACAGAACUUAAAAUUGAUUGAACUCCAAAUAUGGCCAAUUUUUUGGAUGAUUUAAUCUUUCCCUAAAGCUCUUUGUUUACCCAUAAAAUGUGAACUUUCCUUGACUUUGACUGGGUAUGGAGUAGAUUGAUGGUAUUGACUGAUAUUUUUGAGUGUGUAGUUUGUGGUUUUAUGAGGCAUUUUUAUAUUGUCUUUACACUUUUGGAAAGUAUAUGCAAUUGCUAAAACUUCAACGUUAUCUUUUUCUUUUGAUGAAAUAGAAAACAUCGCCCAUUUCAUCUGUUUCUUCAGUCCCCAGAUAGCAGAUGACUGGUAGGAAGAUGAGGCAAGUUUGCGGUCCAUUGUCAUGGAUAGUGGAGACAACACUGGGCCAGAAGUGGUAAGACCUGAAUCCAAGACUCAGCUCUGCCACUUGCUAAAUGGGACUUUGAAUAAACCAUUUCUCUGCACUUAAGUUCCUUACCAACAAAACGAGGGAAGUGGCCUACAUGCCUAGAUAUCAACAUUUCAUGUCACGUAGAGAUCUAGCAUCACAAGAAUCCAAGUCAUCCUCUGUUGCCUUUAAGACAAAAAGCAGAUCAGCAAGUUUUCAUAUUGCACUAUUUUCAAUGGCUGGAGCAUCAACAUUUUACAACAAGAAAAAAAUUAAAAUUCUUCAACAUUUGGAAAAGAAGUGUUUGUAAAACUUUUCACAUCCAUUCACCAUCCGGAAAAGCAAGGUUUUACAGUGAGGCCUGAUGAUGUCUAGAGUCACCAUGCAUCUUGGAAAAUGACCUCCUAUUUAUUUCUUCUACAGGACACCAUGGUGUUCACCUUUCUACAACUUUACACUUGCUGAGGACAUAUUGUGGAAAAUUAAGAGAAAUAUAUAUGGAUGGCCAAGGCUGUAGAUGGAUGUCCAAGCCUUUUUACUGGGGAAUGUUUUCAGAACAAAAUGAGUUACAGGUUCAAGAGUGAAACCCAACAAAUCUUGGCUCUUUUUUUCUCUACUAAAUUCCAAAUCAAAAGUAUUUAUGGAGUGCUUUUAAUGUGCCACGCACUGGGCUAGAGAUUCAUAAUUUUGAUGGGAAUCUGUGUAUUCAAACUCUUUUAACGUGGAAACCUUGCUUGUGCAAGGUCCUCCCAGAUCUUAUCCUACUUUAUCAAAGCUUGGCUAAAUGCAACAUGUCUUCUCCCCAGUGCCCUGGGUCUCUGUACACGCAGUAAAGUGGUCCUUAGACAUAUGCUGAAAUAGGGCUUAAUUUUCCCCAUAUACGAAUGAGAUAAAUUCUACUACAUGUAGCCAGACUUCGAUAGGGAGAACACCCAAAGUCACUUAAAAUAAAACUACACUUUCAUUUUUGCAAGCCAAAUAAUCCUGGAGGAAAUUGUGCUAAUUUUUUUUUCAAAUUUUCAGUUUACACAUUGGAGUUUUGACUUCAAUAUGUAAAAAGUGCAUGAAAAUGAAUGUAGUGCAUCUUUCCUCAUAUGCUCUGCAGUGAUGCGAACUGACUGCAUGGCUAGCUGGUCACCUGAUAAAGGGCACACAGAGAUUCUUGUAGUUCAUUAGGGAUUACUCCGAGGUUGAACACAGGUUUUUCUUUUUCUCAGAUAUAUAGGUAAGACUUGAACUUCAAUUUCCUGCAUAGUGAAUAUGGUUUCUAUUGUCAUGAUUGAGCUUUUUUCAUUUUAAACACUGAGAGCUUCUUUUGAGUUUGUGGGACCCACGCUUUUGGGCAAAGACUGCUUUCUCAAGGCACAUAUGUUCAGAUGUUCAGGUCAUGAUGCAGAGGUAUCAGCUGGGAGGUGCCCCAGGUAAGUUUGCUACUAAACUUCACCCACCCUCAUCUGAGAGGCCACGUCUCUUCCCCUGAGUCUGGGGAUCAUGACACUUUAUAUGUCAGCUACUUUCUUUUUUCGUUUUAUUUUAUUUUAUUUUUGAGAUGGAGUCUCACUCUGUCUCUCAGGCUGGAGUGCAGUGGCACAAUUUUGGCUCACUGCAACCUCUGCCUCCCAGGUUCAAGUGAUUCUUCUAACUCAGCCUCCCAAGUAGCUGGGAUUAUAGGUGCACGCCACCACACCCAGCAAAUUUUUGUAUUUUUUUUUUUUUAGUAGAGACAAGGUUCUGCCAUGUUGGCCAGGCUGGUCUCGAACUCCUGCCCUCAGGUGAUCCGCUCGCCUCGGCCUCCCAAAGUGCUGGGAUUACAGGUGUGAGCCACUGCACCCGGCCACAUCAGCUACUAUUUAAUGAACAUCUUUCCCUGGACAAGAACAAAACUCAAAGAAAUCCAACAGAUUGCAACUUAGUCCUGGGGAGAGAAAAGUCCACAUGUUAAGCAGAAAGCUGAACCACAUAGAAUUCAACCUUUGGUGCCGCUAGUGUUGACAAGGAAGGAUAGAUUCUCUGAGCUAGAGUAAUAAAGAAAGAGAAAUGAGAAACUAGUAUAUCUCCAAAGGUUCUCAAAGUAUUAUUCCUGGACCAGUAGCAUCAACAUUCCCUGAAAAUAUGUUGGAAUUAAAGAUCUCAGCCUCCACCCAGACUUACUGAAUCAGAAAUUCUGGAGCAGGGUCCACUAAUCCUUGUUUUAGUCUUCUGGGUGAUUCUGAUACACACUCAAGUUUGAGACCCUCUGUCUAGCUACACCAUGCUCUUUUUACUUCAACUCAUUAUCCCCACAACAUGAUGCCAUAAUAUAGGAGAUUACAUAGUGUCAGGCUUUGCUUAACUUAGGCUAAGUCUUUAGAUAGAUACAAAGAGGUCAUUCAAUUAGUGGUACCUAUUGGAUAGGGCUCUUAUACCAUCCAUUUUGUUCCGGCAGUUCUUAGCUCAGUUCCUGGGACACAAUAAAUGAUUAACAAAUAGAUAACUAGUUAUUGAAUGAGUGUGGAUUGAUGAAGUUUGAGUAUACACACACACACACACACACAGACACACACAAUGUGAGCCAUACAAGAGAAUGAACGGGAAAGCAAAUUUCUUCUUGAAUACUCAUAAAAUCAGCUUUUAAUACCAAAUAUUAUUUCUUUAGGCCAUAUCCCACUGGAGCCUGAAUUGCUACAAUAGCAUUCUGGAGAUUUUCCUCCUUUCUAGUAUUGGCCUAUCCUAAUGUAUUACAUAACUAGCUUUCUGGAAAAUAUUCCUCAAGGAUCACUUGCUUGCAUAACUUACUUUAGAAAUUCUUCAGUGUUUGAGUGUGUAGUUCUUUCUGUGCUGUGUGCCCAUUGUAUCUUGUGAAUUCCUGUCUACUAAGGUAAAUAUCUGUCCACAUGUCUCAUUCCUUCACUAAACUAAGAAAUCACUGUAAAGAAAAAUGUAUUAGUCUGUUCUCACACUGGUGAUAGAGACAUACCCAUGACCAGGCAAUUUACAAAAGAAAGAGGUUUACUGGACUUACAGUUCCACAUGGCUGGAGAGACCUCACAAUCAUGGCAGAAGGUGAAAGUCACGUCUCACAUGGCAGCAGACAAGAGAAGAGAGCUUGUGCAGGGAAACUCCCCUUUUUAAAACGAUGAGAUCUCAUGAGACUUAUUCACUAUCAUGAGAACAGCAUGGGAAAGACCUGUACCCAUGAUUCAAUUACCUUUUACUGGGUCCCUCCCACAACAGGUGGGAAUUUAAGAUGAGAUUUGAGUGGGGACACAGCCAAACCAUAUCAAAAAAUAAUUUAUUAAUUACCUUGUAUGAUUCUUUUUCCUAUUCCUGGGAUUUAGCACUGUUCCUAAAAUGACUUAUAAAAAUAUUUCAUGUGUAUUUAUGUAUAAGUACCACACACUAACAGAUUGCCCCACUGGAGCACCCAAUUUGUGUUUAUUUAAUCCGUGAAAACGAUUAGUUCCUGGCCAUGAAGUUUAUGCUCCUCCCAUAAUUUUAUGCCAGUUUUUCAGCCUUGUGAAUUUCCUCUUUUAUCCAUCACCUCAAUUAUUGUUUUUACAGGUGGAGUCUCACUAUGAUGCCCAGGCUGUACUUGAACUUCUAGGCUCAAGUGACCUUCCCACUUGAGCCUCUGGUAGCUGAGACUACUGGGGUGUGCCACCUUGCCUGGCUUCUCCUCUCACCUUUAGCUCAACAAGUCCUCUUGGAGUCCUCCUCUUACUCAAGCAGUGCUCAAGCCACCACUGGGUCAUACUUUACAUACCUUAGGGUGGCACUGUAUUUGAGGGUUCACAUUUAAAUGUGCCAAAUGCAUGCAAAGCCUGGUUUACAUUUAGGAGCUUUAUAUUUUUUUUGGCUUAAGGUCUGGUCUAUCUGGUCUAUAUGAAAAAUAGACUUCUUGAGCAGCCCCACCCUUUCUCACUUACAAACUUGUUCAUAAUUGGGCUUUAAAUAAAUAAAUAUUUACUUACUUAUUUACUUAAUGAGGUUGACAGCUUGGUGAGAUGUUUGACAAUGAUAAUUUCAAUAAUUUCUGUCAUUUUUAGUUCCAAGAGGAACCAUCACCCAGUUGAAACUGUGAACCUCUCUCACAAAGUCUAAGUAGCCCUUGAUUCAAGCUAUGGGCACCAGUCUCCACAUAAUCUACUCAGAAGCACUGUAGUGUGGAAAUUGGCAAUGUCUGCCUUCUCCAAAUCAUUCAAUAGAGUUUCAGCUUUUCUCAGGCAUUCUGCAUAUUUAUAAAAGUUAGCUCGAUGCAGUAUUCCAAUAAAACCACCAAUUAUAUGCCUUUCAAAGGAUGUCAUCUUCUGAAAGCGUUCCACAUGGCUAUAAUCUUAUUACCUCUGGUUGAAGUAGUCACAGACCAAACUAAACGGUGAGUAGAGAUUGGUUAUAGGGAUUAUUUUUCCCAUCAGAGUCAGUGUAAGUGACUGCCCUCUCCCUUGUGGUAUGUUUCAGUCCUGACUUGACUAGUGAAGCCACUCCUACAGAUUUCAAACUCUUUGCCAGGGUAGGAAAACACAGGUUGGCUUCACUUCAUCCUCAGCCUCCUAACUUCCUUUUAAGUAACCAUGAGAUAUAUUUAGGAACUGCUGGUUUCUGAGCUAAUACCCAUGAGGCACCAAGGCAAAAAAAAAAAAAAAAGGCAAGUUAAACACACUAAAACUGCUGGCCAUCUCUUAACCAUUCAUUGCACAUGUAAAUUUCACUUGCAUUUUUUCUUUUGCAUUUGCUGGUACUAUUUUCACUUUUAUAUCCUAAAUUCGUGUGGUAAGAGGUCCUUUUAAAGCAUAAGGCAAAGUAGCAUAGGGUGGAAAGUUACAGAUUUUAGAGAAAGGUAGACAUGGCUUUGCAAACUAGCUCUAUUACUUAUUACAUCAAGAAUCCCAGAGAAGUUUCUUCUCUAAUCUUCCUAAAUGUUCUUAUGUGUAUAUUAAGGGUAAUGAUUCCUAUCUUACAGUAUUAAUGCGAAUUCACUGAAGAUUCAUUCAUUCCCCAAAUGUUUAUGUGCCCUUACAGGAACUGGACCAAGGGAAGAGGACACAGAAGGUAAAAGGAAGCCAGACCAGCAUGUUCUCCCACUCUAGUGCUCCUACCAAGAGGCUUUGAUAAGCAAUCACAAUUGUCCCCAGUGACAUGAAAGAAAAAGUGAAGCACCCUGUAGGGAUGCAUAGCAUGACAUCUACGUAGACUUGGGUCAUGGAAGGAAACUGUCACCACAUACAAGUUCAAGGGAAAUGUUCAGCCUCCAGGCCGCUGAAUGAAGCUCUGCCCAGGCCUUAGGAAAAGGUGAAACCCCAACUAGCAGGGGCCCCAGUUCACCAUAUCCAGGAAGGUGUCCUUGAACCAGAAAUACCCACGUUGUACUCCGACAUGAACAAGAAAUAGAUUUCUAUUAUAUUAAGCAACAGAAAUUUUCAGAUAUAUCAGUUCUCGCAGCAGGAAGGAUGUAUUGAUAAUGGCAACAUGGAUGGAGCUCAAAACAUCACAUUUAAUGAAAAAAGAGACUUACAUAAAAAAAUUAUAGACUAUAUUAUUACAUUCAAAUGAAGUUCAAGAACAAGCAAAAGUUGUGGAAAAAUAUCAGAAAACUUGCUUCUGCUGGAGGGGUAGGAUGGGAUUUGACUGGGAAGAGGCCUAGGGGAACAUGCUGGAAUGAUAUUAAUGUUCUAUUUCUUGAUGGAGGUUUGGGUUCCACAGGUGUAUGUAUUUGCUAAAAGUUAGCAAAUGUAGAGUUAAGGUUUGUGUUCUUCCUUGUGCAAUACAUUUUACACCAAAGGAAAGGCUGUAAACAAAUAUUGAACUGUAGUUAAUCAUAUGUAUGGAGAAAAACUUAAGGAAAAGACUUAUGAAUGCCUCAAGUUUAUUUAAAAAAGCAUUAAAAAUAAGAUUAAACAGGUAUUUAUGGAUAAACUACUGAAACUGAGAGAUAUUAACAGUAAAUAGUCAAAAUGUUCACUGUAAGAAUGAAAUUGAAAGGGAUUUGAACCCAGGUCUGUUUCACUGUAAAUCCUUGCUCCUGUGCUCUCUCAUGUUUAUUGGAAUUCAUGGGUAGAAAAUUUAAAUGCUCUGAAUCACUAUGAGAAGAAAGAUUCAGGAAAAAAAAAUGAAAGGCUAGAUUUCCAAAGAUAAGCCAGGUAAAUAUCAUGGAGAGUUGCAACAAUGUACUGCUAAUUAACUCUAAUACUUAGAGCUAAUGUCGAGUUUUCUGAGGGUUGUGACAUUCAUACAUGACUAAUUAACCUACACAGCAAAUCCAUUUCACUAGCUGCCAUGACACAGCCAAUCAAGACUAGCUCACUGUUUGCUCAUUUGGAAAAUGAUGAGGAUUCCCAUUUAGACUUAAUUACACUACAAAGAUUGACAAUUAUCUUCUCUAUAGAAGCAUCAGAUGUUUCGAUAUUAUACUGAACAUGUGCCUAUAAUUAUGUCCAUAAUUUGUCUAGCAGAAAAUGUAACCCAGUCAUUACUGAGAUCUUAUGCCUGUAAUUAGAUAUCAAAAAAAAAAUACCAAAUGGGAAAAGUGGGUUGUUGGGAUGUUAGGACCAUUACAAUGUGAGAAUCUGUAUGAAGCUAUUAGUGGGAACUCAGUAGCAACCAACAUCUCUUGGAUUGCUGCCCUCUAUUAAAAAUAAUCAGGAAGUGUGAGAGAGGGGAAAAUGAUGGCAGAGUAAAACCAUAGUACAAUCGCUUUUCCAAUACUUGACUGCAGUCAUUAAAAAUCCCAUAGGCACCUCAAAUUCAACACAUUUGAAACCGACUCAUUAGCCACCUUUGCCCCACUAUAGCUACUCCUUUUCCUGUGUUUGCUUUCUUAGACGAUUGCAAAGCAUUGUAGAGUCAUCUGCAACAAUUGUUCUCUCACUCCUUUCUCCUAAUCAAACCUCCGUGAUUCUGAUUACUAAUUUUUUCUAAGUGUGUUGCUCCUCUCUAUGCUGUGACUCUUCCAUUGUCUGCCUUCAUCAUCCUUGUAUGGUCAAUUUCAAGAGCACGUAUAAGAACGGUGCUGCAUCUGAAUGUUCACUCAUAAGUGGGAGUUGAACAAUGAGAACACAUGGACACAGGGAGGGGAACAUCACACGCUGGGGCCAAGCGGAGGGAGAGCAUUAGGACAAAUACCUAAUGCAUGUGGGGCUUAAAACCUAGAUGAUGGGUUGAUGGGUACAGCAAACCACUAUGGCACAUGUAUACCUAUCUAACAAGCCUGCAUGUUCUGCACGUGUAUUCCAGAACUUAAAGUAUAAUAAUAAUAAAAGAAGAAUGGUGCCGCUUUCCUCAAAUGUCUCCACCGUGUCACUUAUCUUCUGAAUUUCUCCCAGUAUGAUCAUCUCUAAUCACGAAUCUCAUUAUGCCACUCUGCCAUUCAGAAGAGUUGAGUGUGUCCACCUCUUUCCUAACAGCAUUUGGCAGAACACAGAAAGUAUGUUUUGUUUUUCAUUGAAUUUUGUGCCAGCUUCACGCUGGCCUGCCCCAGUCUGUAAUUUAGGCUAGCUCCAUUAUAUGGUUUACUAAUUAUGUAAUGUGACAUGCUCAUUAUUUCAGUUAUCUCUUGCAGGACAACUGGCUACCCCAAAAUUUAAUAGCUAAAAGCAAUCAUUUUUAUUUUGCUAAUGAUUUUUUGGGGUAAGGAAUGUAGAAACGGCUCCAAAGGGUGGUCGUUUCUGAUCAAUAUUGCAUCAGCUGGGGUGGAAGAAUCUUCUUCAAAAUAGCUUCUUUACUCACAUCUGGUGCCUUAGGGCUUCUUGACCUCUCUCUCUCUUCAUGUGGCUUCUCAUCCUCCAGGCUUUCUUCACUUGGCUUACCUUCUUGCAGCAAGGGUAUCUAAAAGAAGUCUCACUUUUUACACGGAAGCUAGAUUCCAAGAGGCAGGCAGUAGAAACUGCGCAGCUAGCUAAAGGCUAUAACAGAAAAAGGCAUGGCAACACUUCUACCAUAGUCUAUUAGUGAAGGCAGUUCCCAAGACCCUCAGAUUUAAGAGCACAGAGAAAUAGAUCCCAAUUCUAGAUGGGAAAAUGUCCAGGUCACGUUGAAGAAGAGCACAUAGGGCAAGAGACACUGUUGCACCUGUAUUUGCAAAAGUAAAUCUAUAUGCAUGCUAUUUCAUUCUUCUAAAAUACUGAGUGGCUGUAGCUCUCAACGCUAAUCGCUCUGUCUAUCCUACUCAAAUGCACUUCGGAGCAAUUGCUCAACUUUGCACAUUCUCUACGCAACCUCUCUCCAAAAUGCCCCUACAAUACUUAGUGUAAUCUCUUUUAUGUUAGAGUGGAACACCAUUGUCUAUUUACUGACAUAUUUAUCUCUCCCGCCAGAAUAUAAGGAUAAGCUCAUGUCUUAUUUACUUUAGAAUACCUUUUGUGUAACACAGAUGCUGGCAUAUAGUAGAUAUUAAAUACAUGUUCUAUUGAUCACAAGACUAAUAAAAGGAAUAAAUAAAUUGUCCUAUUCAUACAUGUAUUAUCUAUGCCUGGGGUACUUCCUGGAACAAGUUUAGUACCUGGUGAUUAUCAGCUUCCAAGAUGGCCCCCAAUAGUCUCCACCUCCUGAAUUCACACUCUUUGUAGUUCCUUCCUGCAUUGUGCCAGAGUUGGUCAAUGUGACCAACAGGAUAUAGUAGAAGGGAUGGUAUUAUGCUAUAAAAGACGUUCAAUUUUUAUCUCUUUCUCUCUCAUAAUUCACCCUGAGAGAAACCAGCUGCCUUGUUGCAAGCAGUCCUACGGAGAGGCCCACAUAGUGAGAAACUGAGGCCUUCUGCCAACAGCCAGAGGAGGGAGCUUGCAAGCAGACCCUCCAGCCCCAGCUAAGCUUCAGGUGACUGUCCAGGCAACGGCUGGAGUAAAACCUCACAAGACGUCCAGAGCUAGAGCCACCCAGCUCAGCUGCUCCCAGAUUUCUGACUCUCAGAAACCAUGUGAGAUAAUAAAUGCUUGCUGUUUUAAGCUGCUAAAUUUUGAAGUAGUUUUUUACACAGCAAGAGAUAAUUAUUUUAUUUACUAAUACAUAUUCGUGAAUGCCAUCCAACAUAGAAAGAAUGAAGCAGUUCCAUUCUUCUUCUUGGAUUUUUAGCUAAAGUAUUUUGUUGUUACUACGACAGACACCUGGGUGGUAAUUGCUAUUUCAAGCUGGACACCUGGGCUUUUUCUCCACUACAAAGAACCUCUCAGUUACUCCCAGAGAAAGUAAUGAUUUCACUUCUUGGAGUAAGUGUUUGUGCUAAUUAGCAGCAUGACGAAAUACAGCAUGUCAAGCAAAAAACUAUUUGUGCUUACCUUCCAACACAUUCUCUUACAGAGAGGACAUGAUGCCAGAGAAAUAAACAUUAAACUACUGUACACUAUCAGACUUUGCAAUGUAGCCUUACUUCACUAGCUUUGUAUUUCAAUCCCUAAUUACUAAACUGAUAAGAUUUCUGAUUAUUUUGGUUGAAAGAAAAAGCCCUCCUUUUGUCUCAACAAAAUUAGAACAUGAAAGAAAAAAAUAAAUACAUGAAAUUACCUAGAGAAUAUAUUAUUUAUAUCUGCUUCUAAGAAAUUCAGCAGGGGAUUUUUAAAAUGCUGGAUUAGUAAUUUUAUAAUCUUUUAUAUUCAAAUAUACUUCCAUGAAAUGUUAGC